rnacentral:rRNA from 1 species
AUACGUAGGGAGCGAGCGUUGUCCGGAUUUACUGGGUGUAAAGGGUGCGUAGGCGGCUAACCAAGUCAGGCGUGAAAUGCAGAGGCUUAACUUCUGAACUGCGCUAGAAACUGGAUAGCUUGAGUGAAGCAGAGGUAGGCGGAAUUCCCGGUGUAGCGGUGAAAUGCGUAGAGAUCGGGAGGAACACCAGUGGCGAAGGCGGCCUACUGGGCUUUAACUGACGCUGAGGCACGAAAGCGUGGGUAGCAAACAGGAUUAGAUACCCUGGUAGUCCACGCUGUAAACGAUGAUUACUAGGUGUGUGGAGAUUGACCCUCUACGUGCCGGAGUUAACACAAUAAGUAAUCCACCUGGGGAGUACGACCGCAAGGUUGAAACUCAAAGGAAUUGACGGG